ensembl:lncRNA
AGGAAAGCCUUAAUUUUUAGAGAACCAUGAAGAGAGCCAGUUAUAAGGGUGGCUGGGUCAAACUGCCCCCCCACCCCUCGAGAUAACGAUAAGACCAAGGUCCCUCCCGGUUGUUUAGUCGUCUUGUCUACGUCAUUUUAUUUCCCUAGGUAAUUGAGAAUCCUGGUUUCUGACCACCUAGGUAAAUGAGAAUCCUGGUUUCUGAUUCUCUGUGUAAUUCAAAACUCUGGGUUUUUAUUUUCUGGGUUAUUAGAAAUGCCUGGGUUCUGAUUCUAUGUGUAAGUGAAAUAGGCCUUUUCUGGAAACAUAUGGGUUAUCUAGUGUGUAAAUACAGUAUAAAUACUGGAGCUUAAGCUCAGGGUAGGGGGAUCACUUUUGAGAAUUCUCAUCGGUGUGGAUCUCGUGUGGUGGAAUGGAACAAUAAAGCUGGACCCUUGCUUCUUCUCACUCACGGCUGGUGUAUUUUUUCUAUCUCCAACUGGGCUCAGAGGUAGAUGCACGGAAGGGACAGCCCCGCGUCAAAACCAACGGCGACCCG